GGGACCGCGUAUUAUAAAAUUGCUGCGUCAAUAACUGCAAUGUAAUAAUUGCUGAGCUUCAGAAUAUCUUUUCAAAGUGCUGCGAUGGCGGGCGUCGUACAACACUCACUAGUAAUAUACGUAUCAAUCAUGAUGAAACUGGACGUGCCCUAAACAUCCAAUCAGGGUGACUGGUUGUCAGCUGCAAACGCCCCCAGGAGAUCAUUUGACACGCACAGUAUACCCUUACGAGUUAUCAAUGCACAUCACCGACAAAGCUGAGGCCAAGAUGCGCAUCUACCUUGCUUUUAAACAGGCCAUCCUCCGCCAGCCGCACUCUACUAACUGCUUAUAGGCACCAACCAUUACCAUUAGUCUGCCGGAACCGGGAAUCUCUGUGAAGAGUGCACAAGAUACUGCCUCUGCAUUGCCAGCUCACUGCCACCCUUCUCUGUGUGUGCUCUAGGAUUUCAAACCAACCGGGUACACGUGUACCUGGCGCAACCCUUGCAACCAGGUCAGAGUCGGAUCUGUUCAAGUGCGGUAACGGCAUGUACAUCUAAUCAGGAAGUUGUAAAGAUUUAGGAAUCCCGGAUGUAUAAUGUACAUGUGUUCUGGUGACUCGAUGCUCUUUUUCCAAACGGGUCCAAGUACCCCCAACCGGGUCGCUGACCCAGCUGACCCGGCUCUGGAGCAGACACUGCUUCUCUGGAUAUCUUUGUAUCAUUUGCUACAUUAGAUUGAUAUGGAGAGUUCUGAUUUGCUGAACCGACCAACAUACCUGCUUUCAUAGCAACCCCAACUCCCCUAUGCUAUGUACAUAAUGUGCUUUUUUUACUCCUCCAGGUUCUGUUUGUUGUUCGACUUGACACCAGUUACAACUGUAAAUAUUACACAGUAGUAAGACAAUCCUAAGUCACCCGUGUAACCUAUCACUACACAGCAUGAAUUGUAACCAUGGUGACCUGGCACUACACAGCAUGAACUACUCCAUGCCUGUAGCCGGCAGAGCUGCUAUUUUCUACCGACAACCUAGCCUGAUUUUCCUGGACGCAAACAACAUAAUUUUUAGCAUUGAACUUUGCAAUAUCUUCUACAAAACUGAUGCCCUCUUACGGCUCUUCAACGUAGCUCAGAGAGCAGCUUUCUGAAAAUUUCCUAUAAUUUUGUCAACAUGAACAUGUGAUUGUUAGAUUUCCGAAGAUUGCC